AGGUCCUACGGGGCGCCGCAGUAGGGCCUUUUCGUCCAUGGGCGCACGCCUGAACGAGCAAUGCCGCGUGAACGAGGAAGGUCUUCGGAUCGUAAAGUUCUGUUGAAGGGGAAAAAGAGCGGAGAGGAAAUGGUCUCCGAUUGAUAUUACCCUUCGAGGAAGUCACGGCUAACUACGUGCCAGCAGCCGCGGUAAUACGUAGGUGGCGAGCGUUAUCCGGAAUGAUUGGGCGUAAAGGGUGCGUAGGCGGCCUGCUAAGUCUGGAGUGAAAGGUACCGGCUCAACCGG
rnacentral:rRNA from 1 species